AUACGUAGGGUGCAAGCGUUAAUCGGAAUUACUGGGCGUAAAGCGUGCGCAGGCGGUUUUGUAAGACAGUGGUGAAAUCCCCGGGCUCAACCUGGGAACUGCCAUUGUGACUGCAAGGCUGGAGUGCGGCAGCGGGGGAUGGAAUUCCGCGUGUAGCAGUGAAACGCGUAGAUAUGCGGAGGAACACCGAUGGCGAAGGCAAUCCCCUGGGCCUGCACUGACGCUCAUGCACGAAAGCGUGGGGAGCAAACAGGAUUAGAUACCCUGGUAGUCCACGCCCUAAACGAUGUCAACUGGUUGUUGGGUCUUCAUUGACUCAGUAACGAAGCUAACGCGUGAAGUUGACCGCCUGGGGAGUACGGCCGCAAGGUUGAAACUCAAAUGAAUUGACGGGG
rnacentral:rRNA from 1 species